GGGGCUGUAGUUCAGUUGGGAGAACGUUUGACUGGCAGUCAAAAGGUCAGGGGUUCGACUCCCCUCAGCUCCA
rnacentral:tRNA from 1 species